UUUCUGGGUUUGAGCUGUCCUGCCCCGGCACGUAGGGUCACGGUCCCCGAGGCGGCUUCGGAUCUCCGCGGUCACCAACGCUGCCGAUUUUCCCAGCGCGCGCCGUUCGACGUCGAGGAGUGGCAUCCAGAAGCUGUGUCGGAGCAUCUUCAUGGCUGGAAUGUUUUGAGUAAGGGCUGCAGUCAGGGUGUAAGCUGAAGGGUGUGUGACUGUGUGUGUGUGACUGUGUCUGUCUGCUUGCGAGAAGAGUGCGGGUGUGGAAUGGUUCUGACCUUGUGUGUGGGAGUUUUGCCUUUCAGGCUUUUCAGCUACUUUUUAAACUUAGAGUAAAAACAACCCAGCUGCGCUGUCUGGGGAUUUUUUCCCUCCCAGCUGGGUUUUUUUAUCUGGGACCUGGCCGGUCUGUGAGGUGACGUUCAUCGCCAGGGUUUGGGUGCCGACCGUGCCGGGGAUUUGUCAGGCGGGAUGAUUUUGGGGCUCCCGGGAACCGCGUUCCCAUGGGGUGCUCUCGAGAUGAGAGCGAGGGUGGGUUUGUGUGUCAGCUGAAGGAGGUGUGUGGUGGAUGAGUGUUUUCUUCUCCGUGUGCUGCUGUUGCUUUGGGUUCCUAGAACAAUAAAAUGUAAUGAAUUUUCCAGAAAUAGAACAAUUGUUACAUUGUACUGAUAGGGGGUUGGCUUGUGUUGUUCUGUGUUCGUGUUUGCUGCUGCCCUUGCACAUAUUGCUCUGUAUGUCAAUUGGACUUUGACCAGUGUGCAUAUGGAUCGUAUUUGUGCUUGUGCUUGUGUACAUUGUUGUUUCCACUUGCUUUGCUGAAGUGUAAAUAAAAAACCCUCGUUCAAUAAAGUUGAAUAAACCCUAAUAAAGAUACCCCCCCUCCCCCCUUUUGGUUGCUCUCUUC